UGCUUAGGUUUGUUUCAGAAAUUCUCAGAAAU
rnacentral:piRNA from 1 species